GAACCAUAGUUGUGCGGUUAUAUGAUUUGUGGUAUUUGCUAAAGUGCGAGCUGUAAGGUUAGUACCUUAUGCAACGUGCUAGCACCUACAUAUUCUCCAGAAUUUUCUUCUAAAAUGUCCAUUUAGUACUGAGCCACAAAUUUCAGAGAGAAUCAGAAUCUGUAGCCUUGCUCAGUAAGGGAGGCAAUGGCAGCCGUGGCGCAGCAUCACCGGGAGGACGGCCUUGAGGUGCAGAGAAGAGAUAUCGGAUGAAUCAGAAACUGAAGAUGACGAUACAAUGGACACAGAAGAAGCUUCCUCUGUCCUCAUCGCCGCACUGUAGUCUUUCAGCCAUGCUCUGGUGAAUGAUGACGGAGAAAAAGAUACCGAAACUGCUCUACAGACGACAAAACAGUAGACGAUGCCAGGACGAUUAAGAAUCCGGCGGCCAUGGCUUACCUGUACACAUGCAUGUGUGGCUGGAUUUCAUUGUCGUGCAUCAAUCGUUCGUACUUCUGUUUUUUAGUCUAUGGAGAAUGUAUGUGUAUGCUGGUUCCAUAUACUCUAUGUCUGGUUGGCAGGAGAUCUCCUAUAUAUGCGAGGUUUUGUAUCCUUA